CGGGGGGCGAAAAAGGGUGCGGGGAGGAGAGAUGAGGAAGAAGAGAGACGAGAGAGGCGCCGUUGACGAAGUGGAUGAGCUCCUGCGAGCGGCUCAGGAUGACGUCCUCUUGAAGCUCUCUCUCAACUCUCACAUCGCCCGCUCCUCCUCCGACGAUGUCGACCCCGAUCUCACCCGUCGGUUCCACGCCCUCAAAUCUCGUCCCUCCGCCCCCGCUGCGCCGUCGCACCCGCAGCCGCCCCCUAGGCCACCGGCUUCGGCUUCGGCUUCUUCUUCUCCAUCUCCUCGUCAGGUCGAUGCCGAGCUGAAGGCCGUUCUGGGCGAUGAUCUGUCUGCUAGAUUCGCUGCCCUCAGAGGAUCGCUGUAUUCUUCAUCUCCGUCUCCGUCCUCGUCCUCGUCUGCCGAUGCGGCUGUGACUGUCGGCCCUAGUGCGGCAGCUGACGGUCGCGAUCGGCUUGAUACUGGUGAAUUGAAGGGCCGCGGAGAGGAUGAUCUGAAGGAGGAAGAUGAAGUGGAGAAGCUCAUUCAGUGGGCGAUAGACGCCGCUCGUCUCGAUCCUUCUCCGCCUUCGGAUGAUGACGAUGGUCCCAACGACGACGACGACGACGACGACGACCACAGCGAUGACGAGAGCGAGCAGAAGAACAAGCAGAAGAGCAAAUAGCGUGUAAUCUCCUUAUACUCCUCGUUAUACUUCCAUGGCUUCACUUGUAUACUCUCCCUGCACGCUUGUUUUUCCCGGAUUUCACAUUGAUUGUCGCUAGGUGUAGUUAAUCCAGGACUUGAGCAAUUUAGACUCGUGAGGGGUGGAGUAAGAAUAGAAUAAAGAAUGUUCUGUGUCUAUCUGGAAGCGGUUCAACAAGAUAUGCAUCGAAUUAUGGAUGAGAUGAUAGGCAUGGAGAAUAAUUUUUAUCCAGAUUUAUCUGA